rnacentral:lncRNA from 1 species
UAGAUUGAUCUUGAGAUGAGACUACAUGAGUUCUCUAUCUUUCAUGAUUAUUAUUUUCUUCUAUUUUUUUCUUUCUUUCUUCUCUUUCACUAUUUGUUGUUGCUCAAAGAGAUGCUUUGUUUCUUCGUAACUGUUUCAUCAAUACCUUGCAUGAGGUGAGAUUUAUGAAAGGGGAUACCACCUAAUGCUUGGCUCAUUCUGUUUGCUUUAUCA